rnacentral:lncRNA from 1 species
CGGCAGUUGAAUCCACGAAGAUCUCACUCUGUGUGGUGAGCAAGGCCAAGGUAAGCUAUUUGUUGGUUGUUUAAAAUAGAGUGUCAUCGUUGUUAGGAUUUGGGGUGGACCUUAUGCGUAACCACCAUUGGACAUCAUGGAUGGGCACAAUUUGAAUUUUCUCCUCUGUCAAGUCUAGGAAGGAUAGGUCAGUCAUAACCGAAAAGGCCUAGUCCCUAGCAUGUACUGAGAUCAGUGUCUUACCCCUGUAAUAGGAUCCGUUAAAUCUACAAGACUAUAUAGC